GAUGAACGCUGGCGGCGUGCCUAAUACAUGCAAGUCGAGCGAACAGACGAGGAGCUUGCUCCUCUGACGUUAGCGGCGGACGGGUGAGUAACACGUGGAUAACCUACCUAUAAGACUGGGAUAACUUCGGGAAACCGGAGCUAAUACCGGAUAAUAUAUUGAACCGCAUGGUUCAAUAGUUAAAGACGGUUUUGCUGUCACUUAUAGAUGGAUCCGCGUCGCAUUAGCUAGUUGGUAAGGUAACGGCUUACCAAGGCGACGAUGCGUAGCCGACCUGAGAGGGUGAUCAGCCACACUGGAACUGAGACACGGUCCAGACUCCUACGGGAGGCAGCAGUAGGGAAUAUUCCGCAAUGGGCGAAAGCCUGACGGAGCAACGCCGCGUGAGUGAUGAAGGUCUUCGGAUCGUAAAACUCUGUUAUUAGGGAAGAACAAAUGUGUAAGUAAAUAUGCACGUCUUGACGGUACCUAAUCAGAAAGCCACGGCUAACUACGUG
rnacentral:rRNA from 1 species